UUUCUGCCCACGAUCGACUAACGUCGCAAACUACAUUCGAACGACGUUCGGCGUUUGCACCGGCGAUAGCGCCUUGCAACCCGAUGUCCGUGAGGAAUGC
rnacentral:misc_RNA from 1 species